UGUCACUCGUUUUGUGCAUUUGAACCCGUUUGGAUAUUAUUGCGCUUGGUUGUCGCUUCGAGGCGAUAUUUGCAAUUUGUUUUUUUGUGAAAUAGUUGGCGUUGAAUGAGUAAUGUUUUCAAAAUUGUUUUUAUAUGUUAUAUGUUUUGAUUAAAAAAAAAACAAAAAGUUUAGAGCAUUACAGGACGGUCUUUUUCGGGACAAAAGCAAUUGUAAAACGCGAGUGCAGUGAAUUGUUAUGGUGUUUUUGGCAGAGCAAGUACCAAAGGAAAAGGUUCAAAUUGAAAAGAAUACCUAUAAAAUUAAAAGCAAAAAUUAUAAAUCACCCAAUUUAUUCAGAAGGAGCAACAUAUUAAUCGAGAAAUAUUAAUAGAAUAUACAAGUUUUUAAGUGACACAGGAGAACAUUUAAUUUUGUUUUCAACCUGAGUAGAAAACGGCGAGAGUAGAUAAUUGGAUUAAGCGAUAUAAUAGGGAGCUGAACAAUGUGGAGUCCAACGCACAUACAAGUCACUGUUCAACGUGCAAAAGGCCUGCUGACGAAAGGUAAAAAUGGUACCAACAAUUGCUUCGUCACAAUUUCACUGGGCAAAGAGAAAUACCAGACAUCAGUCAAGGACAAAGCGGAAGCGAAUGUUAGUUGGAAUGAGGAAUGUGAACUCAAAAUUCCCGAUCAAGGCAAUCGUGCCGAACUGGCUUUGACUUGUCUGCAUCGCAAUAAUCUCGGUAUAGAUGAGUUUCUCGGUCAGGCAACAUUGCCACUCAAUGAAAUGGACGUAUACGAUCGUCCACGCUCUAAAUGGUUCAAGCUGGAGAGUAAACCCGGGAAAGAGAAAAAGAAUAAAGAGCGUGGUGAAUUGGAGGUGCGGAUUUCCUUUGUUGUCAAAUCUGGCUCACUGACUGAUCUGAGCAAGAAAGAAAAGCACAAGUCUUCCAUCGGCCAGUUGGCUUCUUCCGUGGGUGGCAGUCUUCUCUCAAUUGGCACAAUAGAAAAGCGCAAAGGCAUUAAGAAGUUUGCCAAAUCGAUUGGCUCGAAAAUGCAUUUGAGCAGCAAGAAGAAGAACAAAGAUGGUGAUGAUGUAUCGAACUUCAGUGGCUCAUUCGCGAGCAUAGGCACUCCGAAUAGUUCGAAUGGUGGUAGUCAUCGUUAUGGGCAGCGCGCUGGUGAGGCCGAUCCCGGUGUGAUUAGUGAGGAUGAAGAUGAGUUCGUUUUUGACAAUUUGUCACACAAAAGCUCGGCGAGUUCGUUGAACAUACGUUCGAACCUACAGCCGCCUACACAAAAUUUUGCGCCUCGUAAUCCUUCACCGCUGCUGGGCAAAGUCGGAGGUAAGCCAUUGUCUAGAAGAGAUUUGGUGGAGGAGGAUCUCGCUGUAGAUCCCGAGUUAGAAGAGUUAGAAAACGACUUCAGCGUCCGUGCACGAACACUGCCGCCGCCCUCGAAACCACCUCGCACACAACAACAACUCAACGAUGUGAUAGCUGCGUCACCGAAGCAAAAGGAACCGGCUCUGGACGAAUGGGAAUCGAAGCUAUACAAACAACAUUUGCAGAUUGGAAGUUCAGAUUCGUUAAAACGACGCUCCUGGGAGCAAUCGCGCGUGCCGUUACCAACACCCAAUGAAGAGGCAGAAAAGGAAUUGCAAAUGAAAGUGGAAGAGAAAAACGUGGCCGAAAAUAAGCAAGAAAAUGGUAUUCAGAAACAGGAAAAUGGUUUCGCUGAUAGAAAUAUUUCGCAAAGAAACAGCGAGAGUGACUCUUCUUUAUCAUCUUCAGACUCAGACGAGGAGAAAAGUAUGCCUGAAUUAAACAAAACUGAAGUCAAAGGCGUUACUAACAAGCCACAAGAACUUAUUCUCACCCCUAAGCCCGUAGCAGCAACUCAAAAUAUAAGUCUCCUCUCGCCUGAUGAUGAAACAAAAGAUUUCAAAGAGUUUAACGCUUCGUUUUCAAAAUUCGAACAGCGCAAUAAAUCGCAUUUAUUUGAUUUGGAUAUGGAUAAAAAAUGGCAUACAAAAUCUUUUAUACAGGAAGAGUCCAGAGCGCCUGCUGUGCCAAAGGCUAUGCCACGCAAUCGUGAAAGGGAAGUAGAACUCAAACGCGCUGAAGAAGAGCAAGAAGCCGAGCGCGAACGUCAAGCGGAGGCUGAAGCUAAAGCUGCAGCAGCAAAAGCAGCAGCUGAUGCCGAAGCCAAGGUCGCAGCUGUUGCUGCUGCAGAGGCUGCGCGUAAGCGCCAAGCUGAACUAGAGGCGGCUUCUAUUGCUGCAGAGAUUGAACGAAACCGACGCGAAGCUGUUGAAAAAGAAGAACAAAGACGAGCUGCCGAAGAUGCACACCUCGAAGAAGAGCUACGCAGAAAUGAGCAAAAGUUACGAGAAGAAGAGGAAGCAUUGCAGGAAGAAUUGCGCCAGCGUGAAGAGGAGAAACGGCGAGAAGCGAAAAGACGUGAAGAAGAUCAACGCAUUUUGAACUUUGCCAAACGCUCUACAUCGCUGGAGGAAGAAAAAACCGCCUACGGCACGCCCGAACAAUCGCCCAGCGAGACCUCGUCUGAGAAACGUGAACGGCGUAUGGGCAAAUACAAGUAUCUCAAUAAGCGAGAGAAAAGUGAAGAUAAUCGGUCCACACCAAGUCCCAAAGCCACUGAACGCAUUAUAAUUGGCCAUGAAAAAUCCACAUCACACGCAGAACGACGCUCGGAAAUAUCAGCAGCGCUAGCCAAGAAAUAUGAUGGCAAAUCGCGAGAGGAACUUAUGCUAAUAGCAAAUGGUAUGGAAAAUGAAGCGUUACUGCAACGUCAACGUGUUAAGGAGCUGGAGGACUAUCUGGAUAAUUUGCUGCUGCGUGUAAUGGAAACGCAUCCAAAACUUUUACAGAAUCCCUACUCAAGAACCACAUCGGCGAAGAGUUUUAAAAACUACAUCAAUAUGAAUGACUUUUUGUAAAGAAACAGUUGCGCAGCGCGAUGAAUUUCCAACCGAUUGGCGGUUCGCAUGUCGUAGCCAGGACAACGGCUAAAUGUUUGUAAAAAACAUUUUAUUUAUUAGUAAAUUUCGUGCGCUGAAUGAAAGCAAUACGGUGAGCGGAAAUUUGAAGCGCCUUCCAACCAACCAACAACAACACAAACAUCCACAAAAUUAAGUAUGAUAAUAGUAGAUAAAACGAAGGAAAAUCACCAAGUUGCCUUAUAGUGAAAAAUCCAAAGUGCUUUUUUACGAUGAUAAUAACUAAUUAUAAAACAAUUAUGAGUGUAUGUAGAAAAAAAUAUGUUAUGAGUACGAGUUUAUUAUAAUUUUUUAAUCAAUGUAUGUUUUUUUUUUUGGUUAGAAAUGAUUUUGUUUCUACUAAUACAGUUAAAUUAUUGAAUGUAAUAUAUUUUUUAAAAUGGAUUAACAAACGUAAGAAAUAAUUUUAAAAUAUGAUUGUUGUGAAAACGUAUUUAAUACAGCGAUUUGCAAAGAAAAAACAUAAUACGCCCCUUCAUGGUUAAUGAUUCUGAAUUCUACAUCGAUGGUGGAAACUUAAAUUAAGUUAAUUUAUUAGUGAAAAAUUAAAAGUAAGUUUUAAGCGAAAAAUAUGUUAUGAAAAUCAAGCGAUUGUCGCCAAACGCCUUUAUGUGAAUGUAUAUGUAAGACUUUCUAUGACGGCGGCACCCGCUGUAAAUAUGCAAAAACAAGUAACUAAUCUUAACUAUUUACAACAUUUAACUAUUUACGUAAAAUGGAACUAAAAAGUAAUCAUGUUUAUUCAAAACAAACUGUAAAAUUUUGAACCAUUGCAUUUUUUUACAAAAAUUGACCAAACAAACAAACUGCGUUACAAAAUUGCCCAUUAAGGUACUUGACCACCUUGGAAAGCUAAAAAGUACAACAUAUUCAAUAAUUUUGUUUCAUGUUCUGUAUAAUAUAUUAAAAUAAAUUUUUUUUUAAAUUUUUAUUUAGAGCUUAUAUAAUACAAAAAAAAUUGAUUUAUUAAAAUUCCUUUUUUUAACAUAUAUCCAGGAGGCGCCAAAGUCGAGGCCUGAAGAAAAUCAUGUCUUGCGGCGGACAGUUAAUCUUAGAAAUGAUAAUUCUAAAACAAAAGAGAGAAACAAAAUUUUCAAAAGGAAGGUUCCUUGCGUGAGAAUUUACCACAAACUGACAAAAAAAAAUAAUAAUAAAAAAAUGGCGGAUGUUUGAAAAAAAGUUAAGAAAACACCCCUGUUUUUCACAAUGUUAUGCUUAAAAAGCAAUACUUUAUUAACUUUUUUUUUGCAAAAUGUGGUAAAUUGGCAUACAAAACAUCUUAACAAAUAAAACAAGACCAAAAUCAUUAAAAUCGGCUAAGCAGUUUCGGAGAUAAAGUGUCCGCCAUUCGAAAAAAAGUAAUUUCUGGAAAAACGCGUUUAAAGUUAAAACUUGCUAUUUUCUUUCCGCUGAGUCAGCAAGUAAUGAGUGCAGGAUGCGCCUGCACAUUUUCACUGAUUUCACUUUGUUAGAAUUCGAAUUUAAAAAAACAGUUUCAGGUGAUGAUUUUUAAAAGUAUAAGGAUUGAAAAAAUGUAAAAAAAAAAAUUUAAUUUUUUUAAACUUAUAAGGUGGUCAAGUACCUUAAUUGAGUGAAUUUGGUGAGACCAGAUAUGUAUUUUCAAUGAUUAUUGCUAGGAAUUAAGGUGUUUGUUGUCGCAUUUAUGAUUUGGUUGAAUUAUGAUUUUAUUUUUUAUAUUUUUUUAAUUGUAGUCCUUAGGUUUGGACAAUUGCUUUUUGCGAGUAAAACAUUACCACCAUCCUUGAAUAUGUUUAUCUCCGAGCUUUAUAUAUCUGUAUGAGCUGAAUUUAAAUGAUAUUGUACUUUAAGCUUAAUUAAAAAUAUCAUUAAAUAAAUAUUAUUAAACUAUUUGUACUAUAAAA